CUCUGAGCAGAGCUUUGCCUCACAGCCAGUAUCGUGACUGUCUCUGUGCUUAAGUCUUGCUUACAGGAAAUCUCAACAAUGGGGUCUUCAGGUCUCAAAAGCUUCUCAAGCAGAUCUCUAAACUUCUGGCUGCUUAGAGCUAUUUUCCUUAGCUCUGACUUGAAAAUUACAGGGUACAUCAUGCUACAACUACAAACAAGAUUAUUGCUAUGUACAAAUCAAGCUAGGAUUCAAAUUAAAAUACAUGACCUGUAUACUGCCAGGGAGAUGAGAUGAAAAAACAAACAAACAAAAAAAACCACAACAGUUAUUUCUACGAAAGGCAGAACCUGAUGCCAGAUCUCCAGGAUUCACAGAGUUGUGUGUUCUAAACUCAUUGUUACUUCUUUGCCAGUAAAAUAGAUCUAAACGCUGCCCAUUUAUCUUUACAGGCUAAACCUGAAGACUGCAUCUGCAGCAUAAUACAUAGGUCAGGCUGAAAAUGCCUAUCUAUAUUUUUAAAAAAAGACUAAAAUAUAUACAUGGCUUUAGUCCUGAAUUUAUUUUAGUAAAAUUCAC
rnacentral:lncRNA from 1 species